rnacentral:rRNA from 1 species
CCAGACUCCUACGGGAGGCAGCAGUGGGGGAUAUUGCACAAUGGGCGCAAGCCUGAUGCAGCGACGCCGCGUGAGCGAAGAAGUAUUUCGGUAUGUAAAGCUCUAUCAGCAGGGAAGAAAAUGACGGUACCUGACUAAGAAGCUCCGGCUAAAUACGUGCCAGCAGCCGCGGUAAUACGUAUGGAGCAAGCGUUAUCCGGAAUUACUGGGUGUAAAGGGAGCGUAGACGGAAAGGCAAGUCAGAAGUGAAAACCCAAGGCUCAACCAUGGGACUGCUUUUGAAACUGUCAAACUAGAGUACGGGAGAGGUAAGAGGAAUUCCUAGUGUAGCGGUGAAAUGCGUAGAUAUUAGGAGGAACACCAGUGGCGAAGGCGUCUUACUGGACCGAAACUGACGUUGAGGCUCGAAAGCGUGGGGAGCAAACAGGAUUAGAUACCCCAGUAUG